rnacentral:rRNA from 1 species
CCUACGGGUGGCAGCAGUGAGGAAUAUUGGUCAAUGGGCGAGAGCCUGAACCAGCCAAGUCGCGUGAGGGAGUACUGCCCUAUGGGUUGUAAACCUCUUUUGUCGGGGAGCAAAAGCCGGACGUGUCCUGCUGUGAGAGUACCCGAAGAAAAAGCAUCGGCUAACUCCGUGCCAGCAGCCGCGGUAAUACGGAGGAUGCGAGCGUUAUCCGGAUUUAUUGGGUUUAAAGGGUGCGCAGGCGGAUUUUUAAGUCAGCGGUAAAAUCGUGGGGCUCAACCCCAUCCAGCCGUUGAAACUGGGGAUCUAGAGUGUGCGAGAGGUAUGCGGAAUGCGUGGUGUAGCGGUGAAAUGCAUAGAUAUCACGCAGAACCCCGAUUGCGAAGGCAGCAUACCGGUGCACAACUGACGCUCAGGCACGAAAGCGUGGGUAUCGAACAGGAUUAGAUACCCCAGUAGUC